rnacentral:rRNA from 1 species
AACGAACGCUGGCGGCAGGCUUAACACAUGCAAGUCGAACGCAUCCUUCGGGGUGAGUGGCAGACGGGUGAGUAACGCGUGGGAACGUGCCCUUCAGUUCGGGAUAACCCAGGGAAACUUGGGCUAAUACCGGAUACGUGCGAGAGCAGAAAGAUUUAUUGCUGAAGGAUCGGCCCGCGUCUGAUUAGCUAGUUGGUGGGGUAAUGGCCCACCAAGGCGACGAUCAGUAGCUGGUCUGAGAGGAUGAUCAGCCACAUUGGGACUGAGACACGGCCCAAACUCCUACGGGAGGCAGCAGUGGGGAAUAUUGGACAAUGGGCGAGAGCCUGGUCCAGCCAUGCCGCGUGAGUGAUGAAGGCCUUAGGGUUGUAAAGCUCUUUCGUCCGGGACGAUAAUGACGGUACCGGAAGAAGAAGCCCCGGCUAACUUCGUACCAGCCGCCGCGGUAA